rnacentral:rRNA from 1 species
GCAAGUCGAAUGCUUAGUUUACUAAGCAUGGCAAACGGGAGAGUAACACAUUGGUAAUCUUCCCCAAAGACGAGGAUAACCCGAAGAAAUUCGGAGUAAUACUCGAUAAUAGCGGAGAACAAAAGUUCUUCACUUAAAGCUCCGGCGCUUUGGGAGGAGCCUAUGGCUUAUCAGCUUGUUGGUGAGGUAAAAGCUCACCAAGGCUAUGACGAGUAGCGGGUGUGAGAGCAUGGCC